GACGAACGCUGGCGGCGUGCCUAAUACAUGCAAGUCGAGCGAACGGACGAGAAGCUUGCUUCUCUGAUGUUAGCGGCGGACGGGUGAGUAACACGUGGAUAACCUACCUAUAAGACUGGGAUAACUUCGGGAAACCGGAGCUAAUACCGGAUAAUAUUUUGAACCGCAUGGUUCAAAAGUGAAAGACGGUCUUGCUGUCACUUAUAGAUGGAUCCGCGCUGCAUUAGCUAGUUGGUAAGGUAACGGCUUACCAAGGCAACGAUGCAUAGCCGACCUGAGAGGGUGAUCGGCCACACUGGAACUGAGACACGGUCAAGACUCCUAAGGGAGGCAGCAGUAGGGAAUCUUACGCAAUGGGCGAAAGCCUGACGGAGCAACGCCGCGUGAGUGAUGAAGGUCUUCGGAUCGUAAAACUCUGUUAUUAGGGAAGAACAUAUGUGUAAGUAACUGUGCACAUCUUGACGGUACCUAAUCAGAAAGCCACGGCUAACUACGUG
rnacentral:rRNA from 1 species